GUAGUGAACCUGCGGAGGGAUCAU
rnacentral:rRNA from 1 species